GCCGGGCGUGGUGGCGGGCGCCUUUAGUCCCAGCUAGUUGGGAGGCUAAGACGGGAGAAUAGCGUGAACAUGGGAGGCGGAGCUUGCAGUGCGCCGAGAUGUGCCACUGCACUCCAGCCUGGGCAACAGAGUGAGACUGUUUCAAAAAAAAAAAAAAAAGGCUUUAUUUAUUUUUUGAGAUGGAGUCUCACUCUGUAGCCCAGGCUGGAGUGCAGUGGCACGAUCUCGGCUCACUGCAACUUCCGCCUCCCAGGUUCAAGUGAUUCUCCCGCCU
rnacentral:lncRNA from 10 species